rnacentral:tRNA from 2 species
GGAGAGGUGUGCUGAAUGGCAAGGCACUGGUUUGGAGAACCAGCGGGAAGAAAUUCCCUUGCAGGUUCGAGUCCUGUCCUCUCCGCCA